GAUGAACGCUGGCGGCGUGCCUAAUACAUGCAAGUCGAGCGAAUGGAUUAAGGGCUUGCUCUUAUGAAGUUAGCGGCGGACGGGUGAGUAACACGUGGGUAACCUGCCCAUAAGACUGGGAUAACUCCGGGAAACCGGGGCUAAUACCGGAUAACAUUUUGAACCGCAUGGUUCGAAAUUGAAAGGCGGCUUCGGCUGCCACUUAUGGAUGGACCCGCGUCGCAUUAGCUAGUUGGUGAGGUAACGGCUCACCAAGGCAACGAUGCGUAGCCGACCUGAGAGGGUGAUCGGCCACACUGGGACUGAGACACGGCCCAGACUCCUACGGGAGGCAGCAGUAGGGAAUCUUCCGCAAUGGACGGAAGUCUGACGGAGCAACGCCGCGUGAGUGAUGAAGGCUUUCGGGUCGUAAAACUCUGUUGUUAGGGAAGAACAAGUGCUAGUUGAAUAAGCUGGCACCUUGACGGUACCUAACCAGAAAGCCACGGCUAACUACGUGCCAGCAGCCGCUGUAA
rnacentral:rRNA from 1 species